AAGAUAGUUUGUCAGUCUUAUACAUACGGUUCGUCGCAAUGAUCAGUGCUCCAGUGUUUUCAGUUUGUUCGUGACUGUGGAGGGGAUUGUUGUGUUCUCUUUUCCUUUCAGUUAUGUCCGAUUUUUGGUUCUGCUGAGUUGCAUUGUUUAUUAAUUUUAUGACGCAUCUUAUCAAUAUACCAUGCAAAGUAAUCAUACUAUUGAGGGUAACAAUGAUUCAACAGUCACAACAGUGCCUCAAGAGUGUACACAGGAAGUGCAAAACAAUGUUAAAGCGACAGAAAGUACCUCUUUAACGCAUAACAGUAAUCAAGCAUAUUUUGCAGACGAAAAAAUUCAUAUACCAAAUGAAGAUAAUGCUUUUUUUAGUUUUAGGAAAUUAUGGGCUUUUACAGGUCCUGGAUUUUUAAUGUCCAUAGCUUACCUUGAUCCUGGAAACAUAGAAUCUGAUUUACAAUCUGGAGUAGCUGCCAAAUAUAAGUUACUAUGGGUAUUAUUAAGUGCAACAGUUUUAGGCCUUGUUAUGCAAAGACUAAGUGCAAGACUCGGUGUGGUAACAGGUUUACACUUAGCAGAAAUGUGUUACAGACAAUAUAAAAAAGUACCUAGACUGAUUUUAUGGAUAAUGACAGAAAUAGCUAUAAUCGGUAGCGACAUGCAAGAAGUGAUAGGGACAGCCAUUGCCCUGUCACUAUUAACAAACAAAGCAAUACCUAUUUGGGGUGGUGUACUCAUUACAAUAAUUGACACUUUUACAUUUUUAUUAUUAGACAAAUAUGGUUUGAGAAAAUUAGAAUUUUUCUUUGGAUUUCUUAUCGCAAUAAUGGCCGUUACAUUUGGUUACGAAUAUAUUGUUUCUGCUCCUCCACAAAUUGAAAUAAUAAAAGGCAUGUUUACACCUUGGUUCAAGGACUAUGAUAGAAAUAUGUUAUUAAAAGCUGUGGGGAUUGUUGGUGCAGUCAUAAUGCCACACAACUUAUACCUUCACAGUGCUCUUGUUAAGUCAAGAGACAUUGAUCGCACGGAACCGAAAAAAGUAAAGGAAGCAAAUAUGUAUUACUUCAUUGAGGCUUGUAUUGCAUUAUUGGUUUCCUUUAUAAUUAAUGUAUUUGUUGUAGCAGUUUUUGCAGACGGUCUUUAUAGAAAAACUAAUUUAAACAUUUAUAAGAUUUGCGAGGCAAGUAACUUUACUAUAGGGAUGGAAACAUUUCUUCCAAAAGACAAUGAGACUGUUUCAGUCGAUCUUAAUACGGGUGGUAUAUUUCUUGGCUGUGCCUUCGGUGCAGCUGCAAUGUAUAUAUGGGCUGUUGGAAUUUUUGCUGCUGGUCAGUCUUCUACAAUGACAGGAACUUAUGCGGGACAGUUUGCAAUGGAGGGUUUCUUGAAUCUGCAGUGGGCUCGAUGGAAACGAGUUCUUUUUACACGAAUGAUUGCUAUUAUUCCUACUUUCCUCGUUGCAUUUUACAGUGAUAUAAAUAAUUUAACUGAUAUGAAUGAUAUUUUGAAUGCUAUUAUGACGCUUCAGUUGCCUUUUGCAACUUUGCCAACAAUAGCAUUUACUAGCAGCUCUCAAAUAAUGGGUGAAUUCCGAAACGGAAUAGUAAAUAAGGUUGUUGCAACAGCAUUGUCUGCUGUAGUAAUAUGUAUAAAUAUAUAUUUUGUGAUAAAUACUGUCCAAGAAGAUUUGCCACAUCAUUGGGCAGUGAUACUCGCAAUUUCUAUAUAUUUCAUUUUAUACCUUUUAUUCUGUUUUUAUCUGGUAAUUCAUAUGGCCCUGAAUAUGGGUGCAACUUCUCUUGGUAAUCACUGGUUUGUAAGUAAAUAUAUUGGCAGUCCUGUAAGUACAACGCUUGGAUUAUCUAACCCAACUAUAUAUGCAAGCUUCUUCAAUGUCUCAGAAACAUCAUUAAAUAUGUAAUCAAGUUUGUCUCAUGCAACUAUGUUAAACAAGGUGCCUUCUAAGUACAGAAAAUGUGUCAGUUUUAAAGCAAUCGCAUCAUCUGACUUCAACAUAACAUCAUAUAUGGGUGGACACACAACGCUAACUUGAUUUUAAAAAUUUCCUGCCGAAGAUCGAAUCCGGCGUUUAAUAUUCAAGAAAGUGCGACAGGAAGUUUUAGCACAAUUCCAGACUACUGACGAACAAAUAAC